GUUUCUGUAAAGAAGAGAAUCUGAUUAAUCAAGAUUCCUUCUCCUGCUCUACAAGGCUCUUAAAAACAAUGCAGCGUAUCACAGUGACUUUAAAUCCCCACCACAUUCCCUGGGGCAUCAGGUAGCUCCACAGAUCUUGUGGAGAGUCCUAUUUUUAUACCAUCGAGGACUUCUUGCUUUUGAAUGUGGGGUGAAUGGAAAGAAAGCUGACAAGCUGGUUCUAAGCAUUAUGACCUACAUCAUGGGUCCUUCUGGCUGGUCGUGAAGCCUGAUUGCCCCCUGUUCUUGGUUGUAUAUUAAGAACUACACAUUCCACCAGCUGAGGUCGGCACUUAGGCUGGCACUCCCAUUUUCCUCCUCAAGUAGCAGCAAGGGGGCCUGCAGUGUUCUCAGAAACUGUCUGUCGACUCUCUUUUCAUUCUCUGGGCAAGCUUGCUAGAGCAUCUGGGAACAUGGUGCUAGAACAGCUGGUGUGUACCACAAAUGGAGGAAGCACAUCUCUAGAUGGUUUGAGUGGGCAGCAGAUGUCAGCCUAGUAAGUGCUUUCAUUUCAGUGGAAAUCUCCUAAAGGAGCCUCUCUUCCUCCGCAUUGCAUUCCUGAACCAGCACUGCCUGACUCCAUUUCGCUGAGCACAGCACUGGCAUGUAUUUUGUUCCUUUUAAAACAGAGAAAUAGAACUUAGCAUUUCUCCUCUUCUGCCUGUGUCUGAUUCCAGCAGAAGUAAACAGGCAGGGAAGGGGAGGGCAAGCUGCUCUCGGCGGUGGACAGAAGCAGCCAUUAGCUUGAUAUGAUUGUUGUCAAUAUCACGUCAGAAGGAUGGGAGAGACCAGACUGAUGUAAGGAGAAAGAGGAAGUGAAACAGUUUGGCAUUAGAGUGAUCUGUGCUGCCCACCCCCAUGAGUGAAGAGGAAUGAGACAUCUCCUCCUCUGUCUGCACAGCAGGGCCUAGAGGUCUUGUCUUUGCCCACUAGCAGGAGUGGAGCGUGCUGGCUCAAUACGAGCCAUGACCACGAUGAUUCACUCUGCGGCCAAGUUCCUGGAUGUGGAAAUUUUUCCUCCUCCACCACUUCUUCCUCCUCCUGCUGCUGCUGGGCAGCUGCAGACAAAGGUGAGUCACCCAUGUGGAUGGCUAGGGAGCUGAGUGGGCCACAGGCAUGAAAAGGAGAAAGACUGAGGUAGAUGGACACCACCUAAGGCUAGGGCAAGUUCUCUGUGUUUCCUGGCUAGACAGUUUUCCCUUCUUCCUGAUCCAAGGUCUAAGGAUUAAACACCUGCAUCCACAAAGGUCUGUCCAAUGAUAGAAGAAGGCAGCAGGUCCAAGUCCCCAGAAACUGCUGCAAUGAGGGGAGGUCCUACAUGGCAUCAAAGGUGUGCACCUGGGUUUGGUUUACUGUAGACCGUGCAUGCAGGGGGAGCAUUGCUGAUUUUUUUCUCCAUGAAUUGUCUCAGGCUGCAGGGAUCCAGGCUGGAUUAAGAAACCCAUCAGUGAUGCAUCCUUUCAGAAGCACCUCCUGUUUCUCUUUGUGUUCCAAGACCCUCCUAAAUUCCCAGCAUCAUCGGUGCUGGGCUUGGUUUCAGGUCCCCACUGGCCUCUCUCUCCAUAUCAGUGGCUGAGGGCUUGUUCCUUCCAGUGAGGGUAGAAUGCAGAGCUGAGGUCUCAGUUACUCUGCCUGGGACUGAGAUUUCUCAGAACUGAAGACACCUUUUCUAGCUUUUCCUCAUUUUGUAAGAUAUUCCAUGCUAAUUAUCAGCUUAAACAGACAAGAAACAGGAGUUCAACAACUGAGGAUAAAGUUCCCUUAUGCUCACUUGCUGAAACACAUGCAGCAGGGCAUGUAACAAGAGCUAUGGGGAAACAAAACAAAAAACAAACAAAAAAAACCUUCAACCCUGAUGGGAAAAGAAAUCCUGUUUUCAGCAGUUGUGCAAGGACGGGCAGUUUGUGGUUUAUUGUCAAAAUUCUAUCACUGAUCUCCCCAAAGCAAGAGACAGCUCUAAUAGGCAAAAUGGGGGCAGUUCCUGUGUGAAGACAAUAGAGAAGCCUCACUAGAGACAACUGGGUGUUAGCAUUCCCAGCAUCCACUGUCACUGUGGAAACAGCUUUUUGUUUAGUGGGGAGUAAGGGAAACUGAGGCAAAAAUUGCAAAACACUGGCUGAAAAGGCAGUUUUGCCCUCCAGUGAAUGCAUGUUUCAGCUGACCCAUUCAAAAUACUCUUACAGUUCACAUGGGACAGUUCAGAGAAGCAGGAGCUAGUACCUUUGCCCAGUGCUCUAAGUAACAUCCUGCACAGAUCUGUGAGCCAGUGACACUGGGAUGAGUCACUUGGGGAGCAAGAGCCUGUACCAUGAGUGGCUGGGCUUUUGCGGGUUUGCAUCAGACUUCCACUGGUAAUGAGAAGUCAGGUUUAAGCCACGUUCUUGUGGUGGGAGAGGGGCCUGGAGGCAGGCACAGAGUUAGAAUUCCUCCUGGAGUUCUAGGGGAAGAGCCGUGGGCUCAGGGCCUGGUGAUCAUUCCCAGAUCUUACAGUAUCCCAGCUAAGAGCUAAUGGAGCUUCAGCGAGAUGUCAACUCAUUGGCCCCGAUCCUGAGGCUCUUAACUUCCAUGGAUUGGAGUGGAAUUUAGAGGAGCCUAAAUGCUUUGGAGGAUCUGGGCCAUUGUGGCUCCAGAGCAAACCCACUGGCUGCAUCGCUGGGUAGGGGAAGUGCUGCGUAUACUGACAUUUAUACAUGGGUUACAGUCCUCUCUCUCCAGAGAACAGGAAUCAGAGUCUGACCUGAUUAUAUUUGUACAGCAGGAAGAGGAGCAGCAGGAGAAGCAGGACCAAUAUUCCCACAAAGGCGGAGAGAAUGGGGUUGAAGAGCUCAUGUGAGCGCAUCCAUGUUCUUCCUAGAGGAACAAAGGAAGGAUGGUGAGAACCAGCCGUUCAGAUGUUUACUUCACUAGAGCGUCAUCCAUGCUAGCAUUUUACCCAACCAGGAACAAAUGCCAACUCAGAGGGAACUGACUCACCAGAAGGAACAAGUGCUAAACCAGCCCAGCUCAUUACAGGGACAGGAACAAGCUCUCAAGCAGCUCAUCCAUUACUUCUUCCCUUUGGACAGGCCUAUGGCAGAAUGUGCAAAAUGCCAGCAAACCAACCAGUGAAAACCACAGGUAACAAAGCACAGCACUGCUGAUGGGACUGGAAUGCCGGUGGACCUGGGAUACCUGAGCUGUGAUAGUCUAGAUUAGUGUAUGAUCCUAUCACCCCCAGUGGCUGGUCCCAGCAACUACAACAGGCUGCUAAAUGCGGACGGCUAAUAGCCUUAUUCCUCGCCUAGCCCUUAACUCUGAAAAAAUUCCUAUCAUGUUACCACCAGAUCAAAUUUGGGAGGGAGGAGGAAAGGCUAGUGUAGACUCAGCUUCCAUAGUAGGGCCUGUGCUUUCGCGACUGAAGACCCCGGGUUCUUCCCUUCUGGUGACUUUGGUCACGGGUCACUGGCACGUUGGGGAAAGAGAUGCUGAAGUUCUUACAAUAAGUAAGUGCCAGAGUCACUUUUAGGAAGGCUUUAAGGGAAGCUGAUGGCUGCAGCAAACCUCUGGCCCAUGGGGGCUAUUGCUGGUGGUUGUUUCUCCUAAGAUGUGAUGGCCGAUACUGCUCCAUCUCCAGUAGCAAUGUUAGCAUCCCAGAACCUAAACACAUCAUACUCAGUACCACAGCAUAAUCGCCUAGCCUCAUUUCAGGCUGGCACUGCGCCUGUUCAGCUGGAGCCCAUUUCACCAGAUGCCAGGCAUUGCUACCCAGGUAACUGACAUCAAAGAGCCAGAGGGCAAAAGCACGGCACCCUAACUGAGCCUGGUGCGGCAGAAAGAUGUAAUGAGGGCUCCUGGAGCAUCGCCAGUAAACUCACCCUGCUAUCACUCAGAAGCAUAACAUGAUCAUAUAAGGCUACCAGGUUAAGGAGAGAAGAGAGACAAGGUCACCACGGGACGUGCUCAGACACUACGGAUAGACAGUCCACAACAUGAGGGUGACAACUCAUCACAUACCAGGUCUUCCACAUAAAAAGCAAUUUUACUGAGGCUACCAAACCUUGCUCAGUGUUCCUGGGAACCAAUUCAACAGAUAGAGCAGUGAUACUCAGACUGUGGCUCGGGAGCUGCAAGUGGCUCUUUAAUGUGUCUCCUGCGGCUCUUUGCAGCACGUGAUGUUUAAACACUGUGUCGUUUAAUUAGUAGUCAAUCUCAGUUAUUAACCAGCCAGGAUGCUUUUACUAUGUUGUUAAUCAAUUGUAGAACACUUGGUCAGUCACUCUGCUGUAAGAAUAAUAUAGCUACAAAUAAAAAUAGUAAAGGAAACA